rnacentral:misc_RNA from 1 species
UCCAGUUAAUCACCGGCAGUCUUCCUAGAGUGCCCAGCUUUACCUGAUGGCAACUAAGAAUAAAGGUUGCGCUCGUUGCGGGACUUAACCCAACACUUCACAGCACGAGCUGACGACAGCCAUGCAGCACCUGUGUAAUUGUUUCUUGCGAAAAGACCCACUUUCAUGGGCUGUCAACUACAUGUCAAGCCUAGGUAAGGUUCUUCGCGUAGCCUCGAAUUAAACCACAUGCUCCACCGCUUGUGCGGGUCCCCGUCAAUUUCUUUGAGUUUCAGUCUUGCGACCGUACUCCCCAGGUGGUGGAUUUAAUGCGUUAGCGUCGGCACCGGAGGGAUCGACACCUCCGACACCUAAUCCACAUCGUUUACGGCAAGGACUAC